rnacentral:misc_RNA from 1 species
UUAAGUUCAGCGGGUAUCCUUGUCUGAUCUGAGGUCAAACCUUAGAAAUAGUAGGUUUUGUUCAGGCCGGUUAAACCUGCAAGCCUCACCUUCAAACAAGCAAAAGUUUACUAUGUUUUUGGUUGGGCGUAGCAGCCAGCAGAGCUUACAACUUUAAAACCGGUCAGCUUUUUACGGCCAACCGGCUCAAAACCAGCUUG